UGGCUGCUGGCCGCACCGCUCCAGCCGCCGCCUCCUCGCUCACCUCGUCCGCGCCCCUCACUCUAGAGAGACGGUGGAGGCGGAGGCGGCGGUGGCGGCGGCAGCUCCGGAGAGGCCCGAGUUUACCAUGGCUCUCAAGCUGGCUCGCACGGGCUGUACUCGCAGGGGCUACGGCGGCCGACGAGUCCAGCGCACGCCGACUCCGCUUUGUGUACACGCCUCCCGGGCAGGCAGCGCUCGGCGUUCUCGCGAGGCGGUGAGAGGACCUAAGUGCUACUUCUUCCUCUCUCUGCCCCGCCUCUUGGCACGGGAUCUCGGCCUAGUGUGCGGUCCCCGGUGGUGCCGCGAGAUUCUUCUCUGGGCAGGUGGCGAGAGUUCAGUAGUGCAUCCGGUUUCGUGCAGUUGGUGGGGGCUUUCGAGAGUGACGAGCCGCCGGGCCUUACUCUGAGGAAAAAGUAAAGCAAGCCUGGGAGUCAUGACCCUUGCUCUAUCCUUCAGAUGUUGCCACAAUGAUCACUUCCUCAGAGAAGCCUUCCCUGACUAGUUCAAAUAUGCUUGGACUAUUACAGAGUGGUGAACAGAUGGGAUAAGGGACAAAAUCAUGUCAGUUUCUCAAUCUUAAGAACUGGCUAAGUCAACUCUGCUUCUCCCUUUAUUUGAAUAACCUCAAAGCUGUGGGUGAUUUAGUGUUACUGAAAUAGCUCAAAGCAGGAAUCAGAGGCAUGAAGAGAAGAGAAGAAUAAGAUGGGAAGAAAACAAUUCUGAGGAGUUCAAUGAUGUGCCCUGAAAUCCCAUGGUUACUUUUGGAAUGUCCUGCUUGAUUUAGAGCUAGUGUUGGAGAAUAUGCAAUUGAUGAGGUGAAAACAGUUGCUUCUGUCAAGCCUUUUCUCCAGAAAAAGUGGGUUGAAACUCCCAAAUUUCUAUCAUCAGCCUGGAACUAUUCCUAUAUAUUUAACUGAUGGCUUGUUAUCUUCAUCCAUACACCUAAUGGAUAUUUCAAACUAAACAGGUAAAUACUUAGAGGUGGAACUGCUGGGUCUAUGGUAAGGC